AUUGAACGCUGGCGGCGUGCUUAACACAUGCAAGUCGAGCGGCAGCGCGGGAGCAAUCCUGGCGGCGAGCGGCGAACGGGUGAGUAAUGCUUCGGAAUCUGCCCUUCAGUGGGGAAUAACCAGUCGAAAGACUGGCUAAUACCGCAUACGAACUGAGGUUGAAAGCAGGGGAUCGCAAGACCUUGCGCUGAUGGAUGAGCCGAAGUCGGAUUAGCUAGUUGGUAGGGUAACGGCCUACCAAGGCGACGAUCCGUAGCUGGUCUGAGAGGACGACCAGCCACACUGGGACUGAGACACGGCCCAGACUCCUACGGGAGGCAGCAGUGGGGAAUAUUGGACAAUGGGGGCAACCCUGAUCCAGCGACGCCGCGUGUGUGAAGAAGGCCUGCGGGUUGUAAAGCACUUUUAGUGGGGAGGAAGGUCUGCGACCUAACACGUCGUGGAAUUGACUUAACCCACAGAAAAAGCAACCGGCUAACUCUGUGCCAG
rnacentral:rRNA from 1 species